rnacentral:rRNA from 1 species
GUGAGGAAUAUUGGUCAAUGGACGAGAGUCUGAACCAGCCAAGUAGCGUGAAGGAUGACUGCCCUAUGGGUUGUAAACUUCUUUUAUAAGGGAAUAAAGUGUGGGACGUGUCCCUUUUUGUAUGUACCUUAUGAAUAAGGAUCGGCUAACUCCGUGCCAGCAGCCGCGGUAAUACGGAGGAUCCAAGCGUUAUCCGGAUUUAUUGGGUUUAAAGGGAGCGUAGGUUGACAUAUAAGUCAGCUGUGAAAGUUUACGGCUCAACCGUGAAAUUGCAGUUUAUAGUGUAUGUCUUGAGUGUACAAGAGGUGGGCGGAAUUCGUGGUGUAGCGGUGAAAUGCUUAGAUAUCACGAAGAACUCCAAUUGCGAAGGCAGCUCACUGGGGUACAACUGACACUGAGGCUCGAAAGUGUGGGUAUCAAACAGGAUUAGAUACCCGAGUAGUCC